GUGCAAACUUGAUUACUAACUCUGCAUGACGUUGCAGAAAUGAAGGGAACCAGGUUUGCUAAAGUAAUUGUGGUGAUAGAAUGUAUAAUAUUAGCCUCAGAAGCUAUUGAGGUGGUUCAUUCUAUCCUAGUGCAGUG